GAACGCUGGCGGCGUGCCUAACACAUGCAAGUCGAACGGAGAUUUAGCGCUGACGAGACUUCAGUCAAAUCUUGUUAAAUCUUAGUGGCGGACGGGUGAGUAACGCGUGGGCAACCUGCCUCAUACUGGGGGAUAGCAGUUGGAAACGACUGAUAAUACCGCAUAAGCGCACGAGAUCGCAUGAUCUAGUGUGAAAAAACUCCGGUGGUAUGAGAUGGGCCCGCGUCAGAUUAGCUAGUUGGUAAGGUAACGGCUUACCAAGGCGACGAUCUGUAGCCGGACUGAGAGGUCGGACGGCCACAUUGGGACUGAGACACGGCCCAAACUCCUACGGGAGGCAGCAGUGGGGGAUAUUGCACAAUGGAGGAAACUCUGAUGCAGCGACGCCGCGUGAAGUGAAGAAGUAUUUCGGUAUGUAAAGCUCUAUCAGCAGGGAAGAAAGGCUCGCAAGAGAGAUGACGGUACCUGACUAAGAAGCCCCGGCUAACUACGUGCCAGCCGCCGC
rnacentral:rRNA from 1 species